GACGAACGCUGGCGGCGUGCUUAACACAUGCAAGUCGAACGGAAAGGCCCUGCUUUUGUGGGGUGCUCGAUUGGCGAACGGGUGAGUAACACGUGAGUAACCUGCCCUUGACUUUGGGAUAACUUCAGGAAACUGGGGCUAAUACCGGAUAGGAGCUCCUGCUGCAUGGUGGGGGUUGGAAAGUUUCGGCGGUUGGGGAUGGACUCGCGGCUUAUCAGCUUGUUGGUGGGGUAGUGGCUUACCAAGGCUUUGACGGGUAGCCGGCCUGAGAGGGUGACCGGCCACAUUGGGCCUGAGAUACGGCCCAGACUCCUACGGGAGGCAGCGGUGGGGAAUAUUGCACAAUGGGCGGAAGCCUGAUGCAGCAACGCCGCGUGCGGGAUGACGGCCUUCGGGUUGUAAACCGCUUUCGCCUGUGACGAAGCGUGAGUGACGGUAAUGGGUAAAGAAGCACCGGCUAACUACGUG
rnacentral:rRNA from 1 species